rnacentral:rRNA from 1 species
CCUACGGGUGGCAGCAGUAGGGAAUAUUGCUCAAUGGGGGAAACCCUGAAGCAGCAACGCCGCGUGGAGGAUGAAGGUCUUCGGAUUGUAAACCCCUUUUGUUAGAGAAGAUAAUGACGGUAUCUAACGAAUAAGCACCGGCUCACUCCGUGCCACCAGCCGCGGUAACACGGCGGGUGCCGGCGGGACUCGGAAUCUCUGGGCGUAAAGGGCGCGUAGGCGGGAUAGCAAGUCAGAUGGGAAAUCCUAGGGCUUAACCAUAGAUCUGCAUUUGAAACUGGUAUUCUAGAGUAUGGGAGAGGUAGGUGGAAUUCUUGGUGUAGGGGUAAAAUCCGUAGAGAUCAAGAAGAAUACUGAUUGCGAAGGCGACCUGCUAGAACAUAACUGACGCUGAUGCGCGAAAGCGUGGGGAGCAAACAGGAUUAGAUACCCUAGUAGUC